rnacentral:tRNA from 1 species
GCCUGGGUGGCUCAGUCGGUUAAGCGGCUGACUUCAGCUCAGGUCACGAUCUCGCGGUCCGUGAGUUCGAGCCUCGCAUCGGGCU